GCAUGGGUGGCUCAGUGGUAGAAUUCUUGCCUGCCAUGCAGGAGGCCUAGGUUUGAUUCCCAGUCUGUGCA
rfam:Sarcophilus harrisii ctg7180002484347, whole genome shotgun sequence.